GUCCACGCCGUAAACUAUGGAUGCUAGCCGUCGGCAAGCUUGCUUGUCGGUGGCGCAGCUAACGCUUUAAGCAUCCCGCCUGGGGAGUACGGCCGCAAGGUUAAAACUCAAAGGAAUUGACGGGGGCCCGCACAAGCGGUGGAGCAUGUGGUUUAAUUCGACGCAACGCGAAGAACCUUACCAGCUCUUGACAUGUCCGGACGGUUUCCAGAGAUGGGAUCCUCCUAGCAAUAGGCCGGAACACAGGUGCUGCAUGGCUGUCGU
rnacentral:rRNA from 1 species